rnacentral:rRNA from 1 species
UAGGGAAUCUUCGGCAAUGGACGAAAGUCUGACCGAGCAACGCCGCGUGAGUGAAGAAGGUUCUCGGAUCGUAAAACUCUGUUGUUAGAGAAGAACAAGGACGUUAGUAACUGAACGUCCCCUGACGGUAUCUAACCAGAAAGCCACGGCUAACUACGUGCCAGCAGCCGCGGUAAUACGUAGGUGGCAAGCGUUGUCCGGAUUUAUUGGGCGUAAAGCGAGCGCAGGCGGUUUCUUAAGUCUGAUGUGAAAGCCCCCGGCUCAACCGGGGAGGGUCAUUGGAAACUGGGAGACGUGAGUGCAGAAGAGGAGAGUGGAAUUCCAUGUGUAGCGGUGAAAUGCGUAGAUAUAUGGAGGAACACCAGUGGCGAAGGCGGCUCUCUGGUCUGUAACUGACGCUGAGGCUCGAAAGCGUGGGGAGCAAACAGG